rnacentral:rRNA from 2 species
UAACACGUGGGUAACCUGCCUGUAAGACUGGGAUAACUCCGGGAAACCGGGGCUAAUACCGGAUGGUUGUUUGAACCGCAUGGUUCAAACAUAAAAGGUGGCUUCGGCUACCACUUACAAAUGGACCCGCGGCGCAUUAGCUAGUUGGUGAGGUAAUGGCUCACCAAGGCAACGAUGCGUAGCCGACCUGAGAGGGUGAUCGGCCACACUGGGACUGAGACACGGCCCAGACUCCUACGGGAGGCAGCAGUAGGGAAUCUUCCGCAAUGGACGAAAGUCUGACGGAGCAACGCCGCGUGAGUGAUGAAGGUUUUCGGAUCGUAAAGCUCUGUUGUUAGGGAAGAACAAGUACCGUUCGAAUAGGGCGGUAC